GAUGAACGCUGGCGGCGUGCCUAAUACAUGCAAGUCGAGCGAACAGACGAGGAGCUUGCUCCUCUGACGUUAGCGGCGGACGGGUGAGUAACACGUGGAUAACCUACCUAUAAGACUGGGAUAACUUCGGGAAACCGGAGCUAAUACCGGAUAAUAUAUUGAACCGCAUGGUUCAAUAGUGAAAGACGGUUUUGCUGUCACUUAUAGAUGGAUCCGCGCCGCAUUAGCUAGUUGGUAAGGUAACGGCUUACCAAGGCAACGAUGCGUAGCCGACCUGAGAGGGUGAUCGGCCACACUGGAACUGAGACACGGUCCAGACUCCUACGGGAGGCAGCAGUAGGGAAUCUUCCGCAAUGGGCGAAAGCCUGACGGAGCAACGCCGCGUGAGUGAUGAAGGUCUUCGGAUCGUAAAACUCUGUUAUUAGGGAAGAACAAAUGUGAAAGUAACUAUGCACGUCUUGACGGUACCUAAUCAGAAAGCCACGGCUAACUACGU
rnacentral:rRNA from 1 species